rnacentral:rRNA from 1 species
GUGGGGAAUUUUGGACAAUGGGCGCAAGCCUGAUCCAGCAAUGCCGCGUGAGUGAAGAAGGCCUUCGGGUUGUAAAGCUCUUUUGUCAGGGAAGAAACGGGUUUUUCUAAUACAGAGGCCUAAUGACGGUACCUGAAGAAUAAGCACCGGCUAACUACGUGCCAGCAGCCGCGGUAAUACGUAGGGUGCAAGCGUUAAUCGGAAUUACUGGGCGUAAAGCGUGCGCAGGCGGUUUUGUAAGUUUGUCGUGAAAUCCCCGGGCUCAACCUGGGAAUGGCGAUGAAGACUGCAAGGCUAGAGUUUGGCAGAGGGGGGUAGAAUUCCACGUGUAGCAGUGAAAUGCGUAGAUAUGUGGAGGAACACCGAUGGCGAAGGCAGCCCCCUGGGUCAAAACUGACGCUCAUGCACGAAAGCGUGGGGAGCAAACAGG